ensembl:lncRNA novel transcript
ACAGACUUCAGCUGGCUCAAUGCACGAUCAGUGCCAACUGCAGAAACAUUUCAGAAGUAACUAACUAAAGCCAAAUUCAUAAUAAGCUGCAGAUGACUCAAGACUCCUGGCAUUUCCUCCCCAGCCUUUAUUCCUGGGAAGAGAUGGUGUUUAUUAUGACCUGGGCUGAUCUUUGUGAGAGAAAAACACAAGUUAGCUCAAAACUGGUAAGUACACAUGUGGUUGCCUUUGAGAAAUGCAAAUCAAACAACCUCUUGGACAAGAUUCCCGCCCGCCUUGCCACCUUUUCAAGAUAAAUUUCAAGCUCAUUCUUGUUGGAGAAAAGAAAAGGAGAGAAUUACCUAUAUAAGCAGAUAAAAAGUUAUUUGAAAAAUAUCAAGCUACCCCUGCAGCAGUAGACAUCAUCCAUUAUAAAUUCAGCUAUGAAACAAGAAACUUAAGAUGUGAAAGACCAGAAAGAUUUUAGAUUUUGAGUAGGAAGAUUUUGAGGAAGACAAGGAACACUGUUCAAGUGAUUCUCGCGCCUCAGCCUCCCUAGCAGCUGAGACCGCAGGGUUUCCCCCUCCUG